UGGCUGGUAUUAUUAUUGCACGGCUCAAGGCAAAAGAAACGUCUGAAAAACUACAAACAGUAACAUGAAAAGAUAAGCAACAGAAGAAAAGGAAACAGCUGUCUAAGCAGUAAUAAAUGAACUCCUAGAAACUACCAGUCUAAAAAAACAGAAAGAAAACGUCUUGAGCCAAACCUCUUCAUCUUUAAAAUAUCAGCCAAGCCUCUCUCUAAGUUGAAAAUCGGAACCGAGUAAAGGAGAGAGCAAAAGUUUUGAACACAAUGUUGGAGAUUCAUCGAACCUUCUCCAAUUUCAAAGCCACCGAGGGGAACCCUAGAGACUCUGGAACCAAGACAAUCUGUCUGCCGUUACCAUCUUCUUCACCGAUUCAGGCACACCAUUACCCUAUCCACCGCAAACCUGUCUUCUCCGGCCUUCCAAUGCAAGAGUAUGGGCUGCUCGGUUAACGAUUCUGGGCACAAACAGAGAGUCACCUUCUACUAGCAGACACCGAAAGCCCAUCUCAGUCGCAUAGAUUAGUGCUCUUUCACAAGCCCGCGCUUCUGCUACAAAUGCGUCAACGACAUCUUCAAACAGAUAAGUUUCUGCUCCUAAAAUUGGUCCUGUAGAAUCUCUGGCUAAUACUACUGUUGUAGCGAUUUUGGCUUCUUUUUGGAAAGACGCAUCAAAGUUUAGCUUGAUAACUCCCUCAUCUGGGGGUCUCCACAGAUCUUUCGUCAUCACUUUAAGAGGAGAACGGAGACUCUCUUAAAUUAGACUGAUCUCUUGUUCAUAACCUCGAAUGAACCCUAAGAAUUCUUGCAUAGAAACUUGACCCUUCAUGGAUUAAUUUGUUUCUGCGAUACCAAAGCCCCCAAAUAGAAAUAGAAAUAACUCGUUUCUGAUGCUCAUCUGCUGCAGAAAAUGUUUUAACAAAACGCCUCUUACUACACCACGAAGCUUCCAGCGGUGGGAUCUUUAUUUGUAAAGAAGCCCAAACACGCUAUAAAAUAUCACAGGACCAUACCAAAUGAUUUGAAUCCUCCAGAUCUGUCUUACACAAAGGGUAAGCAACAUCCACACUCAACUUCCGUCGCGCUAGAUUACCAAAAUGAGGCAACAAAUCAUUAAUCAGCCUCCAGUUAUGGAUUUUGAUUUUUUAUGGGAUAUUUAGUGACCAUAAGGCUUUGUAAAAAUCUUUGUAAGCAUCAUUCAUAGGGGAAACUUGGGUGUUAUAUUGUAAAUGAGCUGUAGUGAGAACUCUAUAUCCACUCUUUACAAUGUAUUCCCCCGAACCUUCGUGCUUCCAAACUAUCACAUCCUCCGAACUACCUCCAGAAAUCGGAAUAGCGAAGAUUCGAGCUGCUGUUUCCUCAUCAACUAUUUUUUCCACCAGCACCCUAUUCCAGGCAGCUAAGGGUCAUUCUAGAUAUUGACACAAGCACCACUUCCAAUCCGCCACACAAUCCCUUCCGCUAUCAACUCCCUAGCGCUGCGGAUACUUCUCCAGGUAAAAGAAAGGUUAAUUACAUCAACGGUUAAGAUUAAAAGGUAUCUACAAAUUAAAUCUCUAAGAUUACAAAAUUAUAUUUUCUAAGAUUGUAUAUUAUAUCUAAGAUUGCAUAUUAUUGAAGAUUAUAUUUUCAUAUGAGUUAAGCUUGUAGAUGGACCUUAAAUUUUUUCAAGUAAUGGGCCAUUCCGGUCGGGCCGAAUUAUAUUUGUAAUUCUAGAUUGAAUUUGGAUUUUUUUUUUUUUAGGUUUAUUAUUUAUGGACUUAUUUCUGGGCCCGGGAAAAAUUGAGUGUCUACAAAUUCAAAAUAACAAGUGGGCCUACCACUACUCGCUGUCUCUUCUUUCCUUCCAACAUUGCAAUAGGGUCAUUUUCCUCCUCUGAGAUCAAAUCCAUAGGCCCAUACUCCAACUCAUCAUUAUGGAUACCAUCUUUGCUCCAAUUACGCCCUUGACUUUGCACAAUAGGGGAUUGUUGUUGAUUAGAUCCCAAUUGAUUUAAAUUGAUAAUUGACAUUUGAUUCCCCAUAUUUCCGCCUAAUUUCCGCCCUGUAUCAUUCCCCUCAUUUAAUAAGAAAUUUUGAUUGAAACUUUCCAAAUUUCCAGCGUUGUACUGUAAGCCAUCAGCAUCUUGAAGCCAACUAUCACCACCAAGUUUCGACGCUUUGGUACAGCUCGCAGUGUUAAGUCCUAGCCAAAAAUUAUUUUUGAAAAUUCAAUUUUUAAUCGAUAUGGACAGUAGCUUUCACCAUGACCCAAUCUUCUACAAAUAAAACAAAAUAGACUAAGCUUUUCGUACUUAAAUUUGGCAUAAACAGUCAUAGUUUUCCUAAUCUGGAGCUUCUUCUUAAGUUUCAAUGGGGCAGAUACAUCCAAGAAAACACGAAUACGCGUGUAUUGUUUGAGACCCAAAGACAGUAUUGAAGUGUCGUAUUGAAGGAAUUUACCACAAAAAUUACCAAAUUGUUUAGCCAUCGUUUCGGUCAUGAUCCCUGGUGGUAAUUCAUGAACUUGUAUCCAAAACUCGGUAAAGUUUAGCGCUAAUGUUGCUGGAUUUUCUCCCAUUGGAAGUCUUUGAAGUAUAAGUAGAUGGUUAUUAAAGAACCACGGUGUUCCAGCAAGUACUCUAUGGAUGUCAACCUCGUGAAAAAAUUGAAAGAGAUACCUUUUUUCUCCGAGAUCUGUAAUGCAAAUUCCCCCAGUAGGGUGUCAGAGAUCAGCCAUAGUGUUCCGCAGUGAAGAGAAAUGUUAGGCAGCGUCCCACUAAACAGAAUUGAAAAGAUUUUUCCACCACCACACCUUCCUCGUGAAAAGCUUCUUCCUCUUCAUCUAAAAGACUCAGAUUUGUCAACUCCUCUUCCAUGAAGGAUUCAGCAGACCCCACCAGAUUGCAAAUGAAAAAGAAGAUGACGAAUUCAGAAAGUUUAAAGAAAACUAUAAAAGAAAACAGGAGUGAAGAAAAUCGUGCCAAAAGGCAGACAGAGAAUCGUGCCAAAAGGCAGACUUGUAAAAUUUAUUUCUUAUAUAUAGUAAAAUAUUUAAAACCCAACUUUCAUAAGUGGAAGCGAGAGCUACAAAGCGUUGGAUUUGUGCACCCAACUAUAUUUGUUUUUUCAUUUUGAUUUUUUUUUUGCUUAAUUUGAUAUUAAAGUACACUUUUUUAUGUUGUAAGGAAUAUUAAAAAUUUAUUUGACAACUUUGAUCAAUAAAAAAAUAUUACGUAA